rnacentral:rRNA from 1 species
AUACGUAGGGAGCGAGCGUUGUCCGGAUUUACUGGGUGUAAAGGGUGCGUAGGCGGCUCUGCAAGUCAGGUGUGAAAACCAUCGGCUUAACUGAUGGACUGCAUUUGAAACUGUGGAGCUUGAGUGAAGUAGAGGCAGACGGAAUUCCCGGUGUAGCGGUGAAAUGCGUAGAGAUCGGGAGGAACACCAGUGGCGAAGGCGGUCUGCUGGGCUUUAACUGACGUUGAGGCACGAAAGCAUGGGUAGCAAACAGGGUUAGAUACCCUGGUAGUCCAUGCUGUAAACGAUGAUUACUAGGUGUGGGGUGUCUGACCCCUUCCGUGCCGGAGUUAACACAAUAAGUAAUCCACCUGGGAAGUACGACCGCAAGGUUGAA